AUGGUGGUGAAAGGCGAAGUUUCUACUUUUGAUCUGCUUACCCAGUUGAAUGGCAUCUUCUGCAAGAACAAAGAGUGGCCCUAGUAGAUUAGAUAGCCCAAAGACAAGAAGUUUCUACUGAUAUUUCCACCUUGGUAAAAGGUUGAAGAUCUGAUUGAAUUCCCAACGUUUGACUUGCCAAUUGAUGGGAGUUCUGUCAAAAUAUGUGAAUGGGAAGGAAUGCUUGACUCUUUUGGGGAAUUGAUUGAAGCUUGGGUCCAAAUUGAAGGGAUUCCUCCAAAGUGGUGUGCAUGGAGGGUGUUUGCCCAGGUAUUUUCAUGUUUUGGCAUCCUUGUGGAUGUGGACUGGAAUGAGAUUUUUAAGAUUUUCUAUGAAAUAAUUAGAGUGAAAGUAGCUUGUAGAGAUCCUGCAAAAAUCCCCUUUGAAAGGCUGGUGGAAAUGAAAAGGAAAUUAUAUCUGUUGUUUUUCACAGUAGAAGGGUUUGAACAAGUGGGGGAAGAUUCUGAUAGAGAUGACAACAACCCUAACAAUGAUAUUCUUGGAGAGAAAGGAGUGGAUGAAGAUGUUGAACUACCUGACAAGGAUAACAUGGAUGAGGAUGGAGAGGAACCAAUAGAUGAACUUGGUAAAGCUAACCUCUUAGAGAGAAAUGCUAUUGCCCCCAAGUACAAAACAAAACAUGCAUUGUCUGCUUCUGUAGCUGAUUUUCACCGUUCCAAAUUCCUUCAUUUUGUUCAUGAACAUUUCAUUGAGGAAAACAAAAAACAAAUCUCCCAUCAAUUUUGCUGA
rnacentral:rRNA from 1 species